CUCCUGAAUCUGAGGAGGUCCCUGAGGUUCCAACAAACAUGUUUGAUGUGUUUUAUCAGUAUUAUACUGAUGAAUCUCCACGUUUUAGUAGUGAACGCCUGCCUUUGCCAUUGUUUCAGGGAUCUGGACUCAAUUUUGUGACAGCUAACAACAGCAAAAUUGAAGAUUUGUUAAAGUCACUCCCGGGGUCUUUGACUCCUGGUACAGAUGAAAUAGAUGAGCUUAAAUUUGUGCCAAUAGACGAUAACAAAGUUACGCUUUUGUUACAGUCACUCACACAGUCUGUGACUCCUGGUACAGAUGAAAUAGAUGCUAGACUGCUAAAAGUUACUGCUCGGUACAUCUCUGCUCCCAUACGCCACAUUAUGAACCGUUGCAUUGCCUGUAAUGAGUUUCCAUCUCAGUGGAAGAAUUCCAAAAUAUUACUAGCUUCACAGAGCGGAAACGCUGAUUUCAGGCCAAAACAUGUCCUUCCUGUUUUAAGUCAGAUCCUGGAGAAAAUUCUGGUGGAGCAGAUGACGGAGCACUUUACUAACAAUAAACUGUUUGCUCAGCAUAAAAAAACUCUUCACGAAAUGACACAAGACUUGCCUACAGAAUCUAACAAUGGUGCAGAAGGAGCUGAAUUCAAAGAAGGAUUAAAUUCCUUCCUUGACACAAUCAGUCCUGAAAUGCUGAUUGACAAUUUAAAAUCGAAUAACUUCUCACAAGAGGCUGUUACUAUGAUGAAAAGCUUUCUCUCUGACAGAAGACAGAAAGUGUACUACAACAGCUGCCCUUCUCACUGGAGAAAAGACUGUGGGCUUCCACAAGGAAGUUGCCUGGCUUACUUCCUGUUCUCUGUUUAUACUGUACAAAUGACCUGAAACACCUUUUUAAUCAUAUCUUCAGUUGUUAUGGAAGGCAGUUACUUCAUAAUACAUCAUUGAGCUUAUACCCAUGAGGAGUUAAAGAAUAUGUGGAGAAAUGAAUCACAAGCCCUGAGUCACUGGAUAAAACAAAACAAGGUGGCCAAAUUUAUCCAGGGGGUAAUUGAUAUUCAUCAACUCCUCAGAUCAACGCUGCACUUGAAUGUGAAUCAAUUUUUUCACAUCCAAUUUUUAGAAGUUGUAAUACAGAACGAGCAUAUUUCCUGGUCAGACAUCCGCAAGAAAAUAAAAAUUGCUUUGGUAUGAUCAGGUAAUGUUCUGUAAAUGUCUCAGGGGAGGUGGGUCAUUUUGUUCUUUCAUUAGUGCUCUCUCAAUAAUAGGACUGACGCCGAUGUACCAUCCAUUGCUGACCACACACACCUUGGUUUUCAAGUUGCUUUUGCUAGGAUUUAUGUUUGAGUUAUGGUUUGCUGAGCAUUUUGAUGUUAGCUUAGGUUAUGACAAUCAUUCUGUGAGUGUCUCCUUGUUCAUGCUAUGACUCAUGUUUUUGUGUUUUGUUUUGCUUUUUCACUAUUUAACCCAUCAACACAAAUAGUUUGUAAAUGAGUGAAUUUUUAUUUUCUGUUUUUCUGGUGUUGGCAUACUUGGGUUUGUAAAAGUUAUUUUUGUCAGGUUUCAGCUAAACUGUGGUUUCUUUUUCUCUGUAGUUUUGUUUUGUUUUUUGUUUUCUCUGAACUCCAUUCAUGGUCUGUAAACUGGCAAUAAAGGAUUUAAAACUUGUCCAAUGAUUACACGAGUUGUAUUCUUCUAGAACUUAACAUCAUCCACGCAUCCAACAAUGGCUCAGAAUUUUAAAACAGAGAAGUAUUAGGAAUAUUUGGUUUUUAGUUCAUGGUAUUUGAAUAUGCACAACGAAAUGACAUUUUGAUCCAGCUAGCAGGGAUAUCAGGUGCAAAAGCAGGUUGGGUUAAGUGUGCGUUUAUUAAGAAAAAGUAAUACAGAACAUUAAUAAUUAUUUCCCCAGGAAAUGCUAAUUAUCAGUUAUAAAAAUGCUGAUAGUUCAUACAGAAGCAAAGUUGAGUACUCAAUUAGAGCGUAUAGCUUGACAUAUGUAAAUCUGAAAGUAACUGUGAUUAUCUUUGUGAAGUUUGCAGGCAAAACCAAAUCCUACAGCUACGUUGGAUUGGUUGAGAAGGUUGAUGGUGCUGACACUGGUGCGAAGUUUUUAAGGUGAUGUAGUAAUAGGCCUGUGAAUGAAAAGCCCAUCUUCACUCUCAAAGAAAAUGAUGACAGCGUCAUCCCAAGAGAAGAUGCACAUAAAGAAAUAACUACCCACACCACAAAACUUGGUGGUACAGCCAGAAGGGAGCAGUGGGGAAAAUCAACAAGUUCAUGCGGUGCUAGGCCUUGUUUAAGAAAAGGGACUUUUAAUGUGCUCAUGUGGCAGAACUGGCUUGUAUAAAAUUGGUCUUUGACGUUUGACGUUGUAAAAUAACUUUAAAAAAAACGUGGAUGAGUAGUUUGGUGUUAAAUUUGUCUAGCUUUUAUAUAGCAUUAGUUUCUGAUUUAAAAAUAUACUGUUUUGCUUUAAUAAUCAGUGGCACAAUUAACCCAGUGUAUUCUCUCCAAAGGCACAACUUACACACUGGGGGCAAGUUGUGCCACAAGACCACUUUUUUCAGAAAGCAAUAUUUCUUAAAAACUAUAUUUCAAAUCCAAAGUGAUUGUUCCCAGGGAUGCACGACAUCCUGAUAUAUAUUUAUAUAUUUUAGUUGGGAGCAUUACUGUCAUGGCCUCCCAUUAAAGUCACUUUAAGUUAAAAACUGACACAACUCACCCCACUCUCCCCAGUAUGUCUUUCUGUAUUGUUUUCUGCCAUUUUAACAACACUGACAUGACUGAGUCAGAUACAACACAGACUUACCUGAGCCAGGACAUCCUAUCUCCUUCACACCAUUUUUAGGUAAAUUUUGUUCAACAGGUGAAGACUCAUGAAAUGGCAAAAUAUUUGUUUUAUUUCUGUGUAGAUGUAUUGAUUUUGGACUUGGAAAUACUCUGAUUCUUGGUGCCAUGUUCUCGAAGCUUCUUGUGUCUUCUAAAGCUCAAACGUCAGACACACUUUUCAAUUUGGGAGGCGUUUGUACGUCAAACUAUGUCAUAUGUAAACCUGACAAACUACAUAAAGAUGCCGUGUAGUUGAGUCAGAUACAAUACAGACGCACCCAAGACAGGACGUCCCAUCUCCUUUGUGCCAUUUUUAGGUGAAGUUCAUUCGACUGCCUGGUAAACACAUCCAUCCAUCCAUCCAUCCAGCCAGCCAGCCAGCCAGCCAGCCAGCUCAGAGUCACAGGAGCACUCUCUGCCUAUCUCAACUGUGAUCUCCGACUUUGGGGACUGUGACGAGUCUGAGAAAGCAACACAGCAGGAGCCUGCACAUCUGCAGUUCAGAGCCUGUAGAACAAACAUCACUGAGUAAACUGAACCGAUAGAAGCUCCAGAGCUAAAAGACAAGCUUCAAGUUAGAGUCUCUGAACAUCGACACUACCUUCAGACUGAUCAUUGAUCAGGAGUGGACAACACAAGCAAUCAGGCCCAUCAACAGUUGAGGAAGAGGAAAGCUCCGAAUCAUCUGCUUAGGAGGACAAACCAAGACCUCAGCGACUGAGCGUUGACCAGGACAACACAGAUAAUCAGGCCUGACAACAGGAGAGGAACAUGGCUGAUUUGGAUCCCACAACUGAAAACUUGCGCAUGGCUCAUCUGAACAUAUGCAGCCUUAGACACAAGAUUCCUGACAUUCACAUCUUUUUAGAACAUUAUAAAAUACACGUGCUAGCUGUCACUGAAACUCAUUUAGGCAUAACUGUUAGAAACUCUGAACUAAAAAUAGAUAAUUACAAGUUGUACAGAAAGGAUGGAAAAAAGAAAAACAAAGGAAAAAGGGAUCGGGGUGGUGUAGCUCUCUAUGUUCAAGAUCACAUUAGCAAACACAUUAAGAAACUGUUUGUCUCAAAUCUGCCUAAUAUAGAUCUGAUCUGGGCUGUCAUUAACCUGCCACAUACCAAACCAGUUUUCAUAGGAUGUUGUUACAUAUCAGAAAAAUUUGAUUAUAAAUAUCUUGAAGGUAUCAAGAUAUCAGAGAAAGACCGAACAGAAAGACACAUUUUCCUGCUGGGUGACUUUAACAUGAAUUGGUACUUAGAAAAAGAUAGAAACAACAUUGAGUAUUUUUCUAAAAGGUGUGGUUUAAAACAGGUUGUAAACUGUCCCACCAGGUUAGAAAACUGUAUUGAUCACAUCUACACAAAUAUUCCAAAGCUUUAUGACUCACCAUGGUCAGUUGUCACAGGCUGUAGUGAUCAUAAUCUUGUUAUUGUUGAUGUAGAAAAAAUAAAAGUACCCCAAAGAAUAUCCAUUAGGGAUCCUAAACCCUGGUGGUGGGAUGAAGAUUUAAUAUAUUUGAUAAAGGAAAGAGAUGAUGUAAAAAGGGAUUUAACUAUAGUAAAAGAAAAUAAAGAAAGUGACACAAAAAAAGCAAAGAGUUUACGCAAAAAGAUUUUAGAUAAGUUCAAAAACAUAAAGAAGAAAUAUUUUCCCCAAAUUCAACCAGAAGAUAUCUGAUAUUCAUCAACUUCUCAGAUCCACAUUGCAAUUGAAUGUGAAUCAAUUUAAUCACAUCAAAUUCUUAGGAGUUAUAAUACUGAACCAGCAUAUUUCCUGGUCAGACAUCUGCAAGAAAAUAAAAAAAAAACUGCUUUGGUAUGAUCAGGUAAUGUUCUGUCUCAGGGGAGGUGGAUCAUUUUGUUCUUUCGUUAGUGCUCUCUCAAUUGUAGGACUGAGGCCUCUGUACCAUCCAUUGCUGACCACACACACCUUGGUUUUCAAGUUGCUUUUGUCAGGAUGUAUGUUUGAGUUAUGGUUUGCUGAGCAUUUUGAUGUUAGCUUAGGUUAUGACAAUCACUUUCUGAGUAUCUCCUUGUUAAUGCUAUGACUCAUGUUUUUUUUCUUUUCACUAUUUAACCAGUCAACAGAAAUAGUUUUUAAAUGACUGAUUUUUUGUUUUGUGUUUUUCUGGUGUUGGCAUACUGGAAUAAGUUAUUUUUGUUAGGUUUCAGCUAAACUGUGGUUUCUUUUUCUCUGUAGUUUUGUUUUGUUUUUGUUUUCUCUGAACUCCAUUCAUGGUCUGUAAACUGGCAAUAAAGGAUUUAAAACUAGGGCUGGGUAUUGUCCCUGAUUUCUAGAAUCAGCUCAAUUCCAAUUCACAAGGUUCAAUUCAAUUUGAAUCGGG